UUUCAUUCUAUUUUGAUUUUGGUCUAUACAGAAGUAGAACAUAGUCGAGAGUUUAAGUUCAAAAUCAUUGGUAUGAAAAUACUCAACAGAAUCAUACAUGAACUUGUAUCAUAGAGAAAGAAAAGAAGGUUUUUUUUUAUUGAAUAGAAUGAACAACAAGAAAUAGGAGACACUCUCUCCUUCAAGGGUUUCCCUACACAAAAGAUUUCUCCUUUGACAAAGAGAUAAUGCUCAAUCUAGAAAUUGAACAUCUUUCCUCUCUUCUAUCCUUCUUCCCCUAUUUAUAUCUAACACACAUCUCAAGUAAGUAACUACUAACUCAUUAAAUUCUAUCUAUCUUGACUAACUUCUCCUUCCCCUUGUACCCUAACAACUUAGAAGUAACACAAGGAUCUCCAUAUGAAGGCCAAAAGUGAAGCCUCUUCUGUCAUAGUAACUUCAUCCAGAAUUCCAAACUUUGAGUGUGUUGGCAAUACUUUAGCAUGAUACACUACAUCUCAUGUAAACAAAAUAAUUUGAACUGAAACAGCCUUAGGGUGUCCAAUGAGUUCAGAAGUAAAAUAAAAAUAUAGUCUCUAAAUCAUACUAGGCUGCUUAGCAAUCAAUGGAUAUCAAGGGUAUAUAAGUUCUACCUUGUUCCUGAUUUUACAGACCAUUUGCCCUCAAACUUCUUAAAGUCUCCAUCAACCAUGGAAAAGUGAAGUUCUCGGUCCCACGCCUGGAGCAUUAAAAAAAUAUGUAUCAAAUAUGCAGUGAGUGCCUU
rnacentral:lncRNA from 1 species